CUUCGAUUGUGUGAAUGAGAACCCGGAUCUCUAAUUUCUACAUAUGGUUACUUGUACAUUUGCAGACCUGCAAGGUUUGUAAAAUAUACUUUAUUAUUCCGCAACAUACAUGGUCUUAAUUUUUAGUAAAGAAAAAUACAGGGUCUUAAGAUUCAGAUCUGGAUCUGAAUGCCCAGCCUGAUUUGUAGCGAAGAAGAUGAUGAAUUAGAUUUGAAUUUCGGCUAAUUCCGAUUAUAAUGAUGAAUCAGAUUGAAUUUGUGGUGAAGAAGAUGAAUUAGAUUUGGAUUUGAAUUUGUGGUGAAG
rnacentral:lncRNA from 1 species